ensembl:lncRNA
CCCCCCCCCCCCCCCCUCCCUUUUCCUUUCUUUCUUUUUUUUUUUUUUUACAGACUUAGGAUGGCUUGUCUUGUUAGUUACUUUUCUUCCUGCCAGCCCCCAUCCUCAAGUUCUCCAAUGCAACUUCAGAGGAUCAUCUUUGAUACCUCUGCAUCUGAAUAAUAUGGUUUCUGUCCCAUGCUGUAGCUGACGGUAGGAUGGACUCUGAGUGCAACUGAGAGGUUGCUUCCUCCAUAGUUUCCUAUUGCAUCUCAUACUGGUUAGGGUAAGCAAUUACAGAGGAAAUUUGACUUCUCCAUGGAGUAGUGUGUGCCUGACAGCUAGCUGGAGACAGCACACACGGAAUUGAGUCAGUGCUCCGAGUGCGGUCUUGAGUUGCAGUAAAGGUAAAACAACUGCAGACUGAUAGUUUAGCUUCUAAGGAGCAUAUACAGAUAGCAUGUUUGCCUCUAAUACUUAAAAGGCGAGGUUCUGAGAUCAUAUUUCAUGGACUGCUUCCUAUAGAUUUCAAGAAAUCCAAUCGUUCUGAAGUAUAGCCGUGCGCUAUUAUUAUUUAAAGGGAACAAACUGUUUUGAAACCCAUUACGUGGGAAGGAACCGAGGGCGGAAGUGACGUCAAGGCGUGCCUUCACUGAGGACCAAAACGGCUCCAUGAUUGGCUGGACCGUGAGGGCAGAUGUAGCGUCACGGCUAGCCUUCACUGAGGGCGGAAACACUCCGUGACUGGCUCGGAGGAACCCAGGGCGGAAGUGCCUUGCAGGGCUUGCCGGCACUAUGGGCGGAAGCUGUCGGGCCGGGCCGGGCUCGGCUCGGGCCAGGCCGCCGAGGCGCGGUGCUGCAACGAGGGCAGAAGCAGCUCCCCGCCGCAAGGACCCCUGUGGGGUUUGUUGCCGAGCGAAGGUGGCGCAUUGGCUAAACGGAGGAAAGCUGCAGCUGGCGUGCUGCAGUCGCAGGUUUCCCAGGAGAAAGAGCAGCCCGUCUGUCCAGGUAAGUCGCAGCAACCUUUGGGUGAAACUGAGGUGUGCUCAUAAACUUCCUGCAGCCCACGCUCAAAGGCUUAAUCGAGUUUGCAGAAGCGCGAACUGCUCGGUGCUCCCCGGAGCAUCCCCCCUGUUACCCCUGGCAGGACCCUGGGCGCUCCUAAGCACGCACCCCGGUGACCCCUGGUGGGCCCCUGGGUGCCACAUCAGACACACCCCGGUGACCCCCGGAGGGCCCCUGGGCGCCCCCGAGGACCCACCCGGUGACCCCCAGCGGGGGCCCGGGUGCCCCCAAGGACCCAACCUGGUGACCCCCGGCGGGCCCCCAGGCACCGCAGAGCACCCACCCGGGUAACACCCGGCAGGCCCCAGGGCACCUCGGAGCACCCACCCCGGUGACCCCCGGCAGGCCCCCGGGCGCCCCAUAGGACCUACCCCGGUGACCCCCGGCGGGCCCCCGGGCACCCCAUAGGACGCACCCCGGUGAAACCCGGAGGGACCCCGGGCACCCCCGGGUACCCACCCCGGUACCCCCGGCAGGACCCCGGGCACCCCCGAGGACCCACCCCAGUGACCCAGGGCAGGCCCCCGGGCGCCCCCGAGGAACCACCCCGGUGACACCCGAUGGGCCCCUGGGUGCCCCCGAGGAUCCACCCUGGUGACCCCCGUGGGCCCCCAGGUGCCCCUGAGGACCCACCCCGGUGACCACUGGCGGGCCCCCGGGCGCCCCCUAGGACACAACCCGGUGACGCUUGGUGGGCCCCGGGGCGCCCCCAAAGACGCACCCCGGUGACCUCUGGUGGGCCCCUGGGUGCCCCCGAGGAUGCACCCAGGUGACCCCUGGCAGACCCCCUGCGCCCUCGAGAACCCAACCCGGUGACCCCUUGCGGGGCCCCAGGUGCCCCCGAUGACCCACACCGGUGACCUCCAGCGGGCCCCCUUGCGCCCCCUUGGACCCACCCCGGUGGCCCCUGGAGGGCCCCUGGGAAACCUGGAGGAUCCACCUGGGUGACCCCCAGGCGGGACCCCGGGCGCCCCUGAGGACCCACUCUGGUAACGUCCGGUGGGCCCCCAGGUGACCCGGAGGACCCACCCCAGUGACCUCCGGCGGGCCUCAAGGCGCCCUCGAGAACCCACCCUGGUGACCGCUGGCGGGCCCCUGGGUGCCCAGUAGGACCCACCCCGGUGACCCCCGGUGGGCCCCGUUGUGCCCUGGAGGACCCACCCCGGUGACCCCCAGCGGGACCUUGGGUGCCCCCGAGGAUCCAACCCGGUGAUCCCUGGCGGUCUCCUGGGCGCUUCUGAGGACCCACCCUGGUGACCCCCAGCGGACCCCCGUGCACCCCCGAGGACCC